CACAGACUCAGGGUCCGGCCCUCUCCCCUCUACAGUGUGCCCCCUAGAACCCUCACAGUGUGGACAGUGGGAAUUCAUUCCUUAAGCCCGGAUCCCCGCCUUCUGUUUGUCCCUCUUCUCGUUUACUUACCUUCUAAAUUACAGAGAUGGGUGGACAGAGAGUCUCUUCCUAUCAGACUGGGACAGAGUUGGCAGGAUGAUGACCAACACAAACUCAUCACUCCAUAGAUACCAGCAAUCACUAUGUGGGCAGCUAAUUGAUUGACAGGUCCUGUAUGAACAGUGUCCACAUGUUCCCUCUGCUUAGAGAGAUGGACCGCAUAUGUCUGUUCUCCACACAAGCAACACUGCAAUGGAUCCCUCACUGAGCCUGGAACAUGUGGUUUCAGCUGGACUGGCUUGCUAGCAGCUUGUGGGAUCCACCUGCCUUUGCAUCUUCAUCCCUCCUGCACUGGAAUUACAACUGCACACCACUGUGCCUAGCUUUUGUCCACCAGCACCUGAGGCUCAGAAACCAGGUCUUGUUUAAUCCCAGCACUCAGGAGGCAGAGGCAGGCGGAAUUCUGAGUUCAAGGCCAGCCU